AAUGAGAUAAUAUUAAAACUGGCUAGAAAUUUCAUUAAAUCAGAAUCACCUGUGUGGCGGCACCACCCUGGUAUGUUCCAGGAAAGUAUCGAUAGUGUAGGACAUUUCUGGCGUCAGGCUGUACCGUCCAGUGGUUAACUCAAUACCUUCA